UCAAAAGAUAUUUUCCCUCCUCCCCUUGUGUAUCUCCUCCAUGUUGCUUCCACUAGGCAGGCAUACAUAUGAUUGAAUAUCAAUCAAUAUUCAAUGGUAUUUAUGCCCUUCAUCCAUUCUAAUACUAAUGGUUGAAGAAGUGUCAGUGGAUAGCCUUACGUAUAAGAAAACCAUUUGUAAUAGCUAGUAUAGUCUGACUUUAUGUUAAAAUAAAUGAAAA
rnacentral:misc_RNA from 1 species